CAGCUGCCAAAGGAGAAGCAAGAGUCAAUAAACUGAGUGUCAGCAGCAACACCUGGUGAUGGUCCAUGGAGAGCCUUGGGGGUCAUCAGCCUGCAGCAGCUCUGCUGAGAUCUACGCUGGUUUGGACUGCAAAAAAAAUGUAAUAAAAUGAGAACUUGACCAAGUUCUGGAGCAGCGUCCAGGCUGCCAUCCAUCACUUGCGAAGAGAUUCGAGCUCCUGGUGCGUGGCAGGAUUUGAUGCUGCAGUUUGCUUCCCCACGACCCAGUGAUUUCCUGAACCACGUGAAAAGGGACAGUUUGCUCCUCAGCACACCGCCCCCAGCACCGGCUGCCACAAAGCAGGCAGUUCUCAAGCACAAACUGCUGCACCGAGCUCUCCGGUACGGUGCGUUUCCACCUGAGAUCAUCUCCGGGGGAAGCAGCCUCUCCAGUUAAUGGAUCAGAGGUUUGAUGAGAGCACAGCCAACGUGUGUGGAUCAGAACACGAGGCCGUGGUGUUAAAAAGCAUCCGUCCUCUGCUGCGCAUCCCUCACGCUGUGGCUUCCUCGCGGUGCUGGGGAGGGCUCGUGGUGGGGUCAUGGGGCUGGGCUCCCGGCUCCACUGCCCCUCAGCCUGGUCCCACACGCACUGCUGAGCCCCAACCAGGAUUGCCCGUGGUCUGCCGGGGUGUCCUGGUGAUGCACAGAGUUGGGAUAGCAGUGGUGUGCAGCUGCCUGGGCUGGGGGCUGCGCUCCGAGGUCGGACAAGGAGCAGGCUGUCUGUAUUGGCAAUUUGAGAACAAACUGCACUUGGACUCCUUCCCAGCCAGAGCAGAGCAUGUGAAUGUCAAAGGUUCCUGAAAGCCAAUAACCAGGGAAGCGUGUGCUCUCGGCCCUCCCUGCAGGCUGGGGGAGGAGAGGCAGAAAUGUCAGAUGAGCAGCUCUGAUCUCCCUUCCCACACUCACCCAGCGCUAAUCCCUAAUUGCCUCUCACCCCGCGUGAGCCCACGCUGCAGGACUGCCAGGCUGGGACAGCUUGUGCUGGCAGAGGUCUCGGUUUAAAAAAAAAAAAAAAGGAAAAAAUAAAAU